AUUUUGGGUGAAUUUUGGUUGAAUUUUGGUUGAAUUUUGGGUGAAUUUUGGAUAAAAUUUGGUUGAAUUUUGGGUGAACUUGGGGUGAUUUUGGGGUGAAUUUUGGGUUAAAUUUUAGAUAAAUUUUGGGUGAUUUUGGGGUGAAUUUUGGGUGAAUUUAAACCAAAUUUUGGGUGAAUUUUGGGUGAUUUUGGGUUAAAUUUUGGGAUAAAUUUUGGGUGAUUUUGGGUUAAAUUUCGGGUGAAUUUUGGGUGAUUUUGGGGUAAAUUUCGGGUGAAUUUUGGGUGAUUUUGGGUUAAAUUUUGGGAUAAAUUUCGGGUGAAUUUUGGGUUAAAUUUUGGAUAAAUUUUGGUUAAAUUUUGGUUGAAUUUUGGGUGAUUUUGGGUUAAAUUUUGGGGUCCCCCCAGCCCCGGGGGUCUCCGUGCCCCCCUCCCCUCCUGGCGGGCGGUGCUGGGGCGGCUGCGGCUGCAGGGAGUGACCGGAAACCGGAGUGACCACACGAGUGACCACACCAGUGACCACACGAGUGACCACACCAGUGACCACACCAGUGACCACACGAGUGACCACACCAGUGACCACACCAGUGACCACACGAGUGACCACCGGAGUGACCACACGAGUGACCACAUGAGUGACCUGGCCGGAAACACCACUGACCACCUGAGUGACCACUGGAGUGAUCACCUGAGUGACCUGGUUGGAAACUGGAGUGACCAUGGGAGUGACCACGGGACUGACCCUAAGGAUGACCCCAGGAGUGACCACUCGAGUGACCCCAGGAGUGACCACCCAAAUGACCACCGGAGUGACCACAGGAGUGACCACAGGAGUGACCACUCAAAUGACCACCGGAGAGACCCCAGGAGUGACCCCAGGAGUGACCACAGGACUGACCCCAGUGAUGACCCCAGGAGUGACCCCGGGAGUGACCCCAGGAGUGACCCCAGUGAUGACCCCAAGAAUGACCACUCGAGUGACCCCGGGAGUGACCCCGGGAGUGACCCCGGGAGUGACCCCGAGCCGGGUCAGGAGCUGUCCGUGGCCGAAGUCGUUGUCCACCCGCGGUUCCGCGGUGUCCGGAGGGGUCACGACCUGGCCUUGGUCCGGCUCCGGCCUCCGGCCACGCUCGGACCUCGGGUGGGCACCGUCUGCCUGCCCCUCCCCCACCACCCCCCGCCCUUCGGCCGCGGCUGCUGGAUGGCCGGCUGGGGUCACCUGGGGGAGGACGGUGAGUGACCGCUCCAAAAUGACCCAAAAUGACAGGAAACUGACCCAAAACUGACCCAAAACCCCAAAAUCUGAUCAAAAAAUGACCCAAAACCCCAAAAUCUGAUCAAAAACUGAUCCAAAAUGACCCAAACUGACCUAAAACUGAUCCAAAAUGACCCAAACUGACCCAAAACCCCAAAAUCUGAUCAAAAACUGACCCAAAACCCCAAAAUCUGAUCAAAAAAUGACCCAAAAUGACCCAAACUGACCCAAAACUGACCCAAAACCCCAAAAUCUGAUCAAAAAAUGACCCAAACUGACCCAAACUGACCCAAACUGACCCAAACUGACCCAAAACCCCAAAAUCUGAUCAAAAACUGACCCAAAAUGGACCCAAACUGACCCAAAACUGACCCAAACUGACCCAAAACCCCAAAAUCUGAUCAAAAAAUGACCCAAAAUGACCCAAACUGACCCCAAACUGACCCAAACUGACCCAAAAUGACCCAAAACUGACCCAAACUGACCCCAAACUGACCCAAACUGACCCAAACUGACCCAAACUGACCCAAACU
ensembl:lncRNA